rnacentral:tRNA from 1 species
GAGGGUAUUGCUCAGUGGUAGAGUGCCUGCCUAGCAUGCAUGAGGUCCUGGGUUCAAUCCCUAGUACCUCCA